GGUUGGCAAACCCACUCUUUUCGUCAAAGAAAAAAAAAGGAAAUGAACGGAUAACCUCCGUAGUUCUUGGAUCGAAAGCGGCGAGCAGUUUCGGCGGCGACGGAGAGAGGUGUCGGCGGCGAGCUCGUGGUAGCUGCUGGUCGACCCCUGAUGAGUGCGGCACUGGGGGUGGAAGGUUGGCCGGAGGCAGCAGCGAGGCGAGCUGUGCUGCAGGAGGCUUCGCGGCGGGUGACGGCUUCGCCCGCCGACGGCCGUGUCGCAGUCCGCAUCGAUCCCCAGCCCCCUUCGUUGCUCGUGGCGAUGGUCCCCUGCUUCCACGCAUGGAAGGCCAUCGACUCGUAAGUCUACAAGCUGUCCCACGGCUGCCUUCAUUUCCACCCAGGUUUUAGGUUACUCAAGAUCAACUGAGUGCACUAGGCAUCCAUAGUUGCAAAACGAUUCUGGAUUUUUGCUUGGUAAAUUUUCUGGAAUUACUAAUUUGUGCAUGUAUCGGUCAGCAAUCAAAAUCAUUUGUUGAUCGAGAAGUCCAAAAAUAGUAAGGUCCGUUCUCUUAACUGAAUUUUAACUUUGCUCCCUAUUGUAUAUAUAUUCACACGAGAAGCAGGUAUUUAAUUGGGAAAAAAUCCUGGGAUUUUAAUUAGUAAUUUGCUGGUAUAGAAAGAUGGAUCUGUUAUUAAUAGACAUCAAGUAGUUCUUACGUUUCCUAUAGACAAUUCAUUGAGGAUAGGAACAUUGCGUGGAAAUUGAUUUUAUAAAUUAUUACAGAGAUAGCUAAUGAAACUAGAGUUGUACUCCGUAUUAGAACUGUUGCUCUUUAAGGUGUUUUGACUAUUGAGGUUUACUCUGGGUGUUGAAGUGCAACAAUUACUUCUCCCUGGAGGGUCUCUAUACUUUUGCAUGUUUGUAGUAUAUAAUAUCUGGUGUUCCUUCUUUUAAGUUUUUAAUUGUCAAAUUUCAUGUUGUUCUUGUUCCUGUUUGCUCUUUAUCCAAAUCUUCCUGGGAUUUAAAUCAGAAAGGAUGCUCAAUGGGACUUGG